rnacentral:rRNA from 1 species
ACGAACGCUGGCGGCGUGCUUAACACAUGCAAGUCGAACGGAAAGGCCCUGCUUUUGUGGGGUGCUCGAGUGGCGAACGGGUGAGUAACACGUGAGUAACCUGCCCUUGACUUAGGGAUAACUUCAGGAAACUGGGGCUAAUACCGGAUAGGAGCUCCUGCUGCAUGGUGGGGGUUGGAAAGUUUCGGCGGUUGGGGAUGGACUCGCGGCUUAUCAGCUUGUUGGUGGGGUAGUGGCUUACCAAGGCUUUGACGGGUAGCCGGCCUGAGAGGGUGACCGGCCACAUUGGGACUGAGAUACGGCCCAGACUCCUACGGGAGGCAGCAGUGGGGAAUAUUGCACAUUGGGCGGAAGCCUGAUGCAGCAACGCCGCGUGCGGGAUGACGGCCUUCGGGUUGUAAACCGCUUUCGCCUGUGACGAAGCGUGAGUGACGGUAAUGGGUAAAGAAGCACCGGCUAACUACGUG